GGCUCAGGAUGAACGCUGGCGGCGUGCUUAACACAUGCAAGUCGAACGGAGUUUUAGUAAAUGAUUGAUUUAGCUUGCUAUUGAGAGAUUUUGCUAAAACUUAGUGGCGGACGGGUGAGUAACGCGUGGGUAACCUGCCGUAUACAGGGGGACAACAGUUGGAAACGACUGCUAAUACCGCAUAAGCGCACAGUACCGCAUGGUACCGUGUGAAAAACUCCGGUGGUAUGAGAUGGACCCGCGUCUGAUUAGCUAGUUGGUAAGGUAACGGCUUACCAAGGCGACGAUCAGUAGCCGGCCUGAGAGGGUGAUCGGCCACAUUGGGACUGAGACACGGCCCAAACUCCUACGGGAGGCAGCAGUGGGGAAUAUUGCACAAUGGGGGAAACCCUGAUGCAGCAACGCCGCGUGAAGGAUGACGUAUUUCGGUAUGUAAACUUCUAUCAGCAAGGAAGAUGAUGACGGUACUUGACUAAGAAGCCCCGGCUAACUACGUG
rnacentral:rRNA from 1 species